rnacentral:rRNA from 1 species
GACGGGGGGGGCAAGUGUUCUUCGGAAUGACUGGGCGUAAAGGGCGCGUAGGCGGUUUGCACAGUCAGGCGUGAAAUUCCUGGGCUUAACCUGGGGGCUGCGCUUGAUACGUGUGGACUGGAGUGCGGAAGAGGGUCGUGGAAUUCCCAGUGUAGAGGUGAAAUUCGUAGAUAUUGGGAAGAACACCGGUGGCGAAGGCGGCGACCUGGUCCGUGACUGACGCUGAGGCGCGAAAGCGUGGGGAGCAAACAGG